CUGCCCUGACGGCCACUCGGCCUGGCCGUCCACAUGGUCACACCUCCCGCCCUCCCUUGGCAGUGGGUGAGUCCCGCCUACGGCUCUGCCUUCCGGGGUCCGUGCGUCCCGUGGUGCUCAGGCUUCCGAGGCAGUGGCCACGUUUCCCACCGGAAGGUCUGCCCUGCAGAAGGAGCCAUCACGGAGCCCUCCCAGGUGUGGAGUCCCCACCAGUGUCUUUCUCCCAGCUGUGGUGACAGCCUUGUCCCCAGGCCCCUGCUGGGGUGGCUGGCAGGUCUAACAACAGGUCCAGCCUGACACUGCAGCCUCCCGAGGCCUCUGGAUCCUUCCCUCCAGUUACACCAAGGCAGGUGCGCCAUUUCCAGCCCUCUGACUGGGCCACCAUGGGGCCUGUGUUCCAGGCAGCCAGACAAGCAGCUCACACCCCUCCUGCCCCCCGAGCUGCGGCCUUCGGCACAGGAGCUCUGUGUAGCGAGCCCACUUCCAAAGUCAGCCCAAUGCUGCGCUCUGUUCCUCUGUUACCCACACCCUUAAUAUCCACCCCGCAUGCUCACCCUGGGCCCUGAUCCCUGGAACUGCUAGAGCUCCAAGACGAACGCUACUCCCCGUGCCUGAUUCCUGGGUCAGCCUUUGCCUGCCGUGGACCGUGUGUGCUCCAGCAUGCGGAUGAGCUGCUCCGAGCUGCACGGUACAAAAGAGCCAUGACUUUUGUUGCCCUAAAAAUGAAUUCACGGAACGAAGACAGUGCGGGAAGCAGGUGUCCUCUGACGCACCGGGCCACCCACCGUCCCAAGCCCAGCCCGCCUUCCCUUCUCCGUGGCCUCCCUUGCAGUGGAGGAUUGGAGGGAGCCAGUCGCUGAGCCUGCCUCUGCGCACAUCCAGCUGCCACCUCACGUUCCCCCUCACCCUGGCUGAAUCCCAGGCCUUGGUUUGCAGAUGCUGCUCCCGUCCUCCCUCCCCCAGCCCAGAAGAUUCCCGCUGGGAAGGGAAGGGCGGAGAGGCCAGCAGUGUCCCCUCAGGGGAGUCCCACCCUCUGCAGGUGAUUCCCUGGUGGUCACGGGAGUCACUGGGUCCCUCCGUCCCUGCUCCACCCUCAGCCCCUUGAGAGGAGAGAGGCCUGGGGGUCACCAUCUCCCCCGCCCUCCUGCUGUCAGCUGGGGUUCCUGCCCGUCCUUCCCAGUGGCUCCUCCGAGGAAGUGGAUGUGGCAACCUCCCCCCGGGCCUUGGGAACAGGAAGCCAAACUUGCCGUGAAAUUCUCUCCCGUCACUCAACUGCUUCCCCCUCCUGCCCGGUGUGAACAACUCAGCAAGGCCCCACCCUCAGGAGAGAAAGCACAGGAGAUGCUGGAGUGCUGUGAAGGAGACUGGGGAUCUGAGCUGAGCGGGGAUGUUCUGCUCCGUGCAAUGCCAGUGCUGACCGGCAGCCACUGGGGAGAACAGGCCCCCCCUGGAAGGCGCUCCAACUCACAUGAUUUAUGAGGCGCCCUCAGUGUGAGCUGGAACAGCUUGCUCCUUGACACUAAAUAAAACCAAAAGCGGUACGGGAGUGCGGUGUCUGUGAGUGCCUCGUGUAUACAAAUGACCAUCAUAAAUCUUUCUGUUCUGUGAUGCAUCUUUGAGGAGUUUGGCUGAGAAGCCAGAGCUAGAGAGAACGCCAGGAGGGAGAGGAAGCAGAGUCCAAAUGUCCUGUGUGUCUGCGUGGGUCCUGGGGGGUGGGUGCUGUCCUGCAGGAGACGGGGUCUCUGUUGCCCUCCCACUCCCCACUCCUGCUGUUCGCAGCUCCUGAAUGGCACAAAGCAAGCCUGUCUGUGCGGAGCAUUGCCGCCGGCCAAGGCGUUCGGCCUGAAAAAGUUCUUGCAAAGCCCAGUGCAGGUCCCUCUGUAACAGUCUAGAAGGCCACUUCUUAGAACAAAGAAACCACCCCUGGUGUUCGGGCCUGACUGGGUUUUGUGUUAAUAGGGAAGAUUUUGUCAGCGGCAGCAGAGAUCCAGCGCAAACCAGCCUAACCAAAGGAGGAAAGAUGCUGAUUUAUAGAACCAGGACUUGUGUAAUAAGUCAAGGGCCUCGGGCACAGCUGGAUCCAGGAGUUAAAUGAAGUCAUUGUGAUCCUUCUGUGGGUGCGUGUGGCUGACUCUCCCCAUUCUCAGUGGCCACACUCUACAGCGUCACCACCACAUGGGCAAUGCUGAGCCUCUGGUCCUUAGGGAAACAGGGUCAGAUUCCUUUGAGCCUCUGGUCACCACAUUUUCACCACCCAUCAGUCUGUCACCUUGGUCUAUGUCUAUUUCUGCUUAAAGACACUGUAUUUAGUGUAUAGAGUUGAUUCAUUUACAUUGAACUCACGGCCAACAGCCCACACAGGCCUGAGCAACGCUUCUCCAUCGCAUGUCACAGCUCCUUCACUCAGGAUCACUGGACAGAACCUCAGCUCUGUUCCUGAGGCCACUUUAAGCGGCAACAUCACCAACAAGAGCACAAAAAUGCGAACGACGUGACGCUAAAGAGAAAAGGAUGCACAUUUACUCCGAGAGCAGACACAAGAAGGCGGUGCGGCCUCGCUCCCUUCCCGCCAGGGACGCGCAUGGCGACGCGGCUUCCUGAAGCUCUGUGCACGCCUGUGAAUGACCAGGAAAGACCCAGGUACUGACCUGGGGAUUACGAAUACGUUUUAGCAAGUAAGCGGACGUGUCUGCGUCUCUGCCCGCCCCCCUCCCU
rnacentral:lncRNA from 1 species